rnacentral:rRNA from 1 species
AUUGAACGCUGGCGGCAUGCUUUACACAUGCAAGUCGAACGGCAGCGCGGGCUUCGCCCUUGCGGCGAGUGGCGAACGGGUGAGUAAUACAUCGGAACGUGCCCAGUAGUGGGGGAUAGCUCGGCGAAAGCCGGAUUAAUACCGCAUACGACCUGAGGGUGAAAGCGGGGGAUCUUCGGACCUCGCGCUAUUGGAGCGGCCGAUGGCAGAUUAGCUAGUUGGUGGGGUAAAGGCCUACCAAGGCGACGAUCUGUAGCUGGUCUGAGAGGACGACCAGCCACACUGGGACUGAGACACGGCCCAGACUCCUACGGGAGGCAGCAGUGGGGAAUAUUGGACAAUGGGCGAAAGCCUGAUCCAGCAAUGCCGCGUGUGUGAUGAAGGUCUUCGGGUUGUAAAGCACUUUUGGCGGGAAGGAAAAGGACUGUGCCAAUACCACGGUUCGAUGACGGUACCCGCAGAAUAAGCACCGGCUAACUACGUG